GAUUUCUGACGAAACUGCUAGCUGGCCCGUCACGUCAGUGAUGUGUGCCGGCUUGGCGUUUGUCAUCCGUUCGAAUGAUAUGCGCGCUGCCCUUCACUGGGUUGGUGCUGCAUGUUUUCGAUCUUUUACUUUGAAAAAAUUAGAGUGUUUAAAGCAGGCUUACGCUAUGAAUACAUUAGCAUGGAAUAAUAAUUUAGGACUUUGGUCUUAUUUUGUUGGUUUCUAGGACUAAAGUAAUGAUUGAUAGGGAUAGUUGGGGGUGCUAGUAUUCAGCGGCCAGAGGUGAAAUUCUUGGAUUCGCUGAAGACUAACUUAUGCGAAAGCAUU
rnacentral:rRNA from 1 species